CAGACCCAACCUCCCAGACCCUCCCACCUCCUGGACAGCUCACUAAGAAUGCAGCUUCACAAUGGAUGCUGUCCAGGAGGUGGGAGGGUCUGGGAGGGAGGGUCUG
rnacentral:miRNA from 1 species